rnacentral:rRNA from 1 species
AGAGUUUGAUCAUGGCUCAGAACGUACGCUGGCGGCACGCCUAACACAUGCAAGUCGAACGAAGUAGCAAUACUUAGUGGCAGACGGGUGAGUAACAUGUAGGUAUCUGCCCUUUGGCCUGGAAUAACACGAGGAAACUUGUGCUAAUACCGGAUAAGUCUUUACGGAGAAAGCUUUAUGCACCAUUGGAUGAGCCUGCACUUGAUUAGUUUGUUGGUGGGGUAAUGGCCUACCAAGACUGUGAUCAAUAGCUGAUUUGAGAGGAUGAUCAGCCACAUUGGGACUGAGACACGGCCCAAACUCCUACGGGAGGCAGCAGUGGGGAAUCUUGCACAAUGGAGGAAACUCUGAUGCAGCGAUGCCGCGUGAGUGAAGAAGGCCUUUGGGUUGUAAAGCUCUUUCGUCGGGGAAGAAAAUGACUGUACCCGAAUAAGAAGGUCCGGCUAACUUCGUGCCAGCAGCCGCGGUAAUACGAAGGGACCUAGCGUAGUUCGGAAUUACUGGGCUUAAAGAGUUCGUAGGUGGUUGAAAAAGUUGGUGGUGAAAUCCCAGAGCUUAACUCUGGAACUGCCAUCAAAACUUUUCAGCUAGAGUAUGAUAGAGGAAAGCAGAAUUUCUAGUGUAGAGGUGAAAUUCGUAGAUAUUAGAAAGAAUACCAAUUGCGAAGGCAGCUUUCUGGAUCAUUACUGACACUGAGGAACGAAAGCAUGGGUAGCGAAGAGGAUUAGAUACCCUCGUAGUCCAUGCCGUAAACGAUGUGUGUUAGACGUUGGAAAUUUAUUUUCAGUGUCGCAGCGAAAGCGAUAAACACACCGCCUGGGGAGUACGACCGCAAGGUUAAAACUCAAAUGAAUUGACGGGGACCCGCACAAGUAGUGGAGCAUGUGGUUUAAUUCGAAGAUACGCGCAGAACCUUACCAACACUUGACAUGUUCGUCGCGACUUUAAGAGAUUAAAGUUUUCGGUUCGGCCGGACGAAACACAGGUGCUGCAUGGCUGUCGUCAGCUCGUGUCGUGAGAUGUUGGGUUAAGUCCCGCAACGAGCGCAACCCUCACUUUUAGUUGCCAUCAUUUAGUUGGGCACUCUGAAAGAACUGCCAGUGAUAAGCUGGAGGAAGGUGGGGAUGACGUCAAGUCCUCAUGGCCCUUACGUGUUGGGCUACACACGUGCUACAAUGGUAUCUACAACAGGAAGCAAAAUCGCGAGGUUAAGCAAAUCCUUAAAAGAUACCUCAGUUCGGAUUGCACUCUGCAACUCGAGUGCAUGAAGCUGGAAUUACUAGUAAUCGUGGAUCAGCGUGCCACGGUGAAUGCGUUCCCGGGUCUUGUACACACCGCCCGUCACACCAUGGGAGUUGGUUCUACCUUAAGGCAAGGUUUAAAACCCUUGACCACGGUAUAGUCAGCGACUGGGGUGAAGUCGUAACAAGGUAACCGUA